CCGAGUUCCCUUUGAAGAUGGCUGUGUCCGUCAGAUCAGUAUCCGAGGUCUGGAACUGCAGAUUGGGGGGGCAACUUGCUCUAAUUCCUGACCCCAUCACUAGAACCAGAAGUCCCAACACUCAGGUCUUGAUUUCAGCCCAACCUGCUUCAGCCUCAGACUGUGGCUGAAAACAUUCUCCUCAUUUUGCUGUGUGAGGACCCUCAGCCACAGCUGGAUAGCAGAGUCUGAGUAUGUGAGCAUAUGUGUUUGGGUUUUCAACAGACAUUGAUUAAGUAUUGACUAAGUGUCAGACAGUGUAUUCUGUGUUGGGGAGACAAGGGGCACAGCCAUGGUUCCUGCUCUUGGGGCAUCAUCCUUCAACAGAAGAGGUGAAGGUCAUCCUUUUUUAUUUAUUUGUUAGUUUAUUCAUUCACCCACUUACUUAAGAUUUAUUAAGGGCCUUUCAUGUGCCAGAGACUAUACAAAGACACUACAAAUCCAAAAUUAAAUGACAGUCACUACCCCACUGAAGCUUGCGGCCCAUGGGCAGCAUUUGAUAAACCAAUGCACACAGCACAGAGUAUGCCACAUAUCAUAGCUGUAAUAUGCGUGGUUUACAGUAGAAAAUCCGAGGAGGGUCAUCUACAGCAGAGAGCUUCACUUCAGUUUUCUGGAGAUGUUGCUGGAGUUGAGUUUUCAAGAGCACUGUGGUAGAUUAAAGAUGGUACCAGAGUGUUUGCUUUCCCCACUCACUGAAACCUAGCUUAACUCUUCUGCCCUUGAAUCUAGGUUGGGCUUAGUAACCUUCUUAAUUGGUAGAGAGUUCAAGAACUAUUUUUCUAGAACUACCAAGGCUAGGUAAGAAGACUUGCAGCAUCUACUUCCUGGCUCUUGGAAUCAGGACUAUCCUGGAGAGGUGACAUGUAGGUGCUCCAGUUGGCAGUCCUGGCUGGGCUUGGCCUUCUAGUCAUUCCAAGGCAACAGACAUGUGAAAGAAGUUAUUUUGGACCCUCCACACCAGCCCACCUGCUAGCUGAAUAACACCAAGUGACCUCUGUUUAUACCAUGAGGAAAAGAAGAAUCACCCAGCUGAGCCCUGCCAAAAUUUCUGAUCUAUAAAAUAUAAUAAGUGUUAGGCUUUGAGACCUGCAUAGUGGUGGGACAGACAUACCCCUGUGAUCAUAUUCAUGCUAAUGGGUGCAAGGAGGGUAUGUAGUUUGUCCUCCUGGUUACAGGGCAUAGCAUAGCCUGCUGCUGGUCUCUGAAAUCAUUUACUCCUAGAGGAAGUUUCUCUUUAGCAAGAUAAAUCAUCAGCCUUCCUCCUCCCACCACACACACACUUCCUAAAUUACUGCUCCCCACUCCACAAUUAGGCAUUCUUGUGUUCACUGAUUCAUUCUUUGAUUUGUUUAAAAUAUAAUGAUUUGAUAUAUAUUCAUUACACUAGCAACACUUAUUCACCACUUAUCAGGCCCUGGGUUCAACACUUACAUGAAUUAUGUCACUUAAUCCUCAUGACAUCCCAUGAGGUAGUUAGUACAGCUAGUUCUGCUAUGGUACUCAUUUUAAAAAUGAAGAUUUGUUCAAUACAAUUGACAUACUAGGAAACAAUUUAAUCAUAUGCAAAUGUUGCAUUUGCUUAUGUAUAAUUUUGUCUACACACACACAACUAAGUGAUCACAGAAGAUUGCAUCCAGCUGAACAGAACUGGAUAGGGAUACAAAAAAUGCACAUAUGUACAUGCCUUAAACAUCUAUCAGCUGCCUCAGUUACCAUGUACCCAGAGGUGCAUUCAUUCACAUCCAAUGUUACCUCUUUGCAUCCAAUUUUAGAUUAUCCUCCUUCCAGUACUUCAUAAUAACUCACAAGCUGCAACUUACCUGAUGCCACUUCCACAAGCAAACUUUAGCUCUUGUUCAAGGUAAAGCACCAUACUUAUUUGCGGUAGUUAUGUAUUUAACCAGUUAACAUGUGUAAAACAGUAUGCUAUGGACUGAAUGUCUGUGUCCCUGCUGCCGACCCAUAAAGUCAUAUGUUGAAACUUUAAUCCCAAAUGUGAUGUAUUUGGAGAUGGGCUUUUGGGAGUUAAUGGGGGCUUAGGUCAUGAGGGUGGAGCUGUUAUGAGGCGAUGAGCAUUCUUAUAAGAAAAGACACAAGAGAGCUUGCUUCUUCUCCCUGCUCUCUGCAAUAUGAGGACACAACAAGAAGAUGGCUUUCUGCAAACCAGGAACCAAAUUGGCUGCAACUUAAUCUUGGACUUCCCAGCCUCCAGAACUGUGAGAAAUAAAUGUCUGUUGUUUAAG
rnacentral:lncRNA from 10 species